GGAAAAACACACAUUGUAAAAUAAGAAUUCUUCAAAGACAACUUGAAGACAUCUGGGAAUUCUGAAGCCUGAAAAUUCCAUGAGUUCAUAGCAGUGUUCACUAAUUCCACUGAUCUAAAGACAAAAAGGAGAGUCAACUGCGUGCCCAAACUCAUUUCUGAUGAUUUCUUCCAUCCUAACUUUUCUGCCUCUCUGGGGGUGGUUAUGCCUGUGAAAAACAUUGAAGCUGUCAGGAACAGAGUCGGCUUUCAAGAUUGGAAUGUCAAAGUAGAGUCUUCUUUUCCUCAGACCAGAAGGGGCUUGGUUGGGUAAGAGUUUCCAGAUCUAAAUGGAGACAGGACUGGGAUAUAGGAGCUUGUACGGAUAAACAACACAAACACCUUGGGUAUCAGCCCAAGAAAAAUAAAAAACAUAUGUCUGCUACACAGACUGCUUGUCUACCUAUGUAUCAACACUUGUUGAACAUAAUGUGAAUGAAUCUCAAAAAUAUUUUGCUGAGUAAAAGUGCCCAAUCCCCAAAAACUACACAUCAUAUGACUCAAUUUGUUUGAAGAUCUAAAACAGUUGAAGAAACCGAAGCACAAAGAAUAACUUGUCCAAGAUCACAGAGUUUAGGAAGUAAGGAAGCAGGGCUUUGAGCUUUGCAUCAAGUGAUGACCCAUAAAUGCAAAUGGAAUACAACAGGAGUGGGUCCCUAAAGUCCCACCCAGAGAAUGCCCUUCUGCCAAAAAAUUUCGGAUUGAAACAGCAAAAACACCUAAGCAACUGAUAGUCAGGUAUUUCUUUGGAGGCCAAGUCACAUGGGAACCUCUUUGUCCACCUUCCCUCUCAGGGCCCAAAUAUCCCUCUCCAAAGAUUCAGAAGCAAAAUGGGAGGAAGUUGACAAUGAUGACAAUCUAUGCCUGACUUCAGCCCCAAGGAAGGUUUGACCUAGAGAGGUGUGAAGAUGUCAAACCUACACUGUCCAAUAUGGUAGCCAGUAGCACAUGUGACUCUUUACAUUGACUUUUAAAUGGACUACAAUUAAAU
rnacentral:lncRNA from 10 species